GAUACUACUUGGAACCUGAAAUAGAUUUGAAACAUUAAUUUGCAUAAUGCAUCUUCCCUGCUGCUCUAAGAGCAUUUAUAUCCCUGUGAGUUGAACACUUCAUGACUGAGAGCUGUUCUUCAUGGCAACAGAACCCAUAACAACCAUGACUUUUAUCACCAUCUUCAUCUGGACACUUGCCUUCUGCUUUCAAGAAUCCAGAGGACAGUACACUGUGAUUCAGACUCCUACAGUGAAAGCUGUUCUGCCAAGACAGACAGUCACUCUUGACUGUAAAACCAGCAGUGAUGUUCAGGGUGGUUACUAUCUAGCCUGGUACCACCAGAAACCUGGAGGAGCUCCUAAACUCCUUAUUUACUCUGCUACAACACUUCAGUCUGGGACUCCAUCUAGAUUCAGUGGCAGUGGAUCUGGGAGUGACUUCACUCUGACCAUCAGUGGAGUCCAGGCUGUAGAUGCAGGAUAUUACUACUGUCAGAGUUACCACUACAUCAAUAGUAAAGAUGUGUUCACACAGUGAUACAGAGACGUACAAAAACCUCCCUCAGUCAGACUGCACAGUGACUGUACUGAUACAGCUGGGACCUACUGCAGGUGCUGAGGGGAGGAGAUGAUCCAGUACAAUGACACAGUGUGUAGUAGAGCUGAACAACAAUAGAGUCAAACUAGAGCUACUGUAUGUCUAGAAGACCUUAGAUCAUAACUGAUCACUAAGUGUUUCUCCUGACUAUUAACUACAUGUUGACUCUGUUGAGUAACUCAAGGAAAACCAUCAACCAAACUGGAUAGAGAUGAUGUGCAAUGAUCCAAACCCCUAAAGAUGACCUGUGCUUUAAAUAGAUAGAAUUUA